GUGCUUGCUUUGGCAGCACAUAUAAUACAAUUGGAACUAUACAGAGAAGAUUAGCAUGGCCCCUGAGCAAGUAUGACAUGCAAAUUCAUAGUUCCAUAUUAAAAAAUA